CAGACACUAACUAAACUAACUACAUAAUUAUGAAGUUAAUGAAAUUAUUUUGGGCUAAUGCUGUGGAAUCUGAAAGGUAGUGCAUGCUUCUCUUGCUGGGUCUAAAUUGAUCACGUGAUGCAGAAGUAGCCAAUCAGCGGUUUAAUUAGCUCAGUUGGCUUUAGUGAAGUUCUCGGUUUGUAGCAGUGCAGCAGCCAAAAGCAAUCAGGAUGAAUGUAGGAUUUAAAAGUCACUGUUUACUGACAGGAAUCCAGUGGAAUGGUCGUCAAAUGGAUCAUCUCUGGGAUAAAUUUAGACCUGGAGAUGGAGAACCGAAAGAGCCUGCUCUGCUGCUGCUCUGCGUUGUCAUGGUGAUUCUUGACCUUUAGUGGCAGCGUGUCUUUUUUCCUCUCGGCCACAUAAUCGACUUAUUUAUAUCAGUCGUGUUAUUGAUGAGCAGAGAAGAGACGCCGCUUUUAAGCGAGAGUGAGAGCGAACAGAGAACAGGACUUUUAUCCGGCUCUGAAAAGGACAAAGUGCUCGUCUUUAUUCAGCUCGAGGAGGAGUGAUGUGAUGUGAUGUGAUGUGUAGUGGUACUGGAAAAGAAAAAGAAAAAGUCCAGGGUAAUUUAUAUUCAUGUAAAUAAAGAACAGUGAUGAGCAGCGACUGCUAACUACA